GUGGGGAAUUUUGGACAAUGGGCGCAAGCCUGAUCCAGCAAUGCCGCGUGCAGGUAGAAGGCCUUCGGGUUGUAAACUGCUUUUGUACGGAACGAAACGGUCCGGGUUAAUACCCUGGGCUAAUGACGGUACCGUAAGAAUAAGCACCGGCUAACUACGUGCCAGCAGCCGCGGUAAUACGUAUGGUGCAAGCGUUAAUCGGAAUUACUGGGCGUAAAGCGUGCGCAGGCGGUUUUGUAACACAGGCGUGAAAUCCCCGGGCUCAACCUGGGAAUUGCGCUUGUGACUGCAAGGCUGGAGUGCGGCAGAGGGGGAUGGAAUUCCGCGUGUAGCAGUGAAAUGCGUAGAUAUGCGUAGGAACACCGAUGGCGAAGGCAAUCCCCUGGGCCUGCACUGACGCUCAUGCACGAAAGCGUGGGGAGCAAACAGGAUUAGAUACCCGUGUAGUCC
rnacentral:rRNA from 1 species